GAGUAUAGGAGAACCAACACCAUAAGAAUAAAUAUUGUCCCAUUUUUUAUAACCAUUCAUUGUAUCUUUUCAAACCUGAAAUUGUAUUUCCAAGCUUUGUGUCUCAAAUUUUCUUUGGCUUCUAGUUUUAAUUCUUAUUCUUUGUUUUGUUAUAGACGAAACUAAAUGGCACUCCAACCCGCUCCUUCAGAGUUUGUUCACACACGCCAACAUCCCAAGAAUAAGGCUUGGGUUGAUCGAAGAUCGGAAUAUGUCUAUGGAAAGGGAUGAACUUCAUGAUUUGGUAAAACAACUGAUGGAAAGCUUAAACUUUCAGCCCAAGCCAUAUACUAGAGAGUAGAGAUCAAGUUCACGAAGAUGAUGUGGCUGAUGAUUUUGAUGAUAUGUUUGAUGAUAGUGAAGAAUUAGAUCAAGAAUGACAAGUGUAGUAGUGUGGCUUACUUUUUGUAGUUUUUUGAGUUAGGAUAUUGACUUUUUGUAUGCAAGUCUUGUAUGCAAGAAUUGAAAGGGAUUUAGUCUCCCUUUUGUAUGUGUCUAUGAUAGUUAAGAUAUUCACUUAUGAUACUCGCAAAUGUAGGUAGUAGUGAUAACUUAGUCUUAAUCUUGGUAAGUUUUGUUUGAUUAUGUAUUUUUGGAUAAGUAGUAAAUACUUAAAUAUAAAUUUAUUAUGUUCAUAU